rnacentral:misc_RNA from 1 species
AAGAGAGCAGGCCAGGGA